UACGAAGGGGGCUAGCGUUGUUCGGAAUUACUGGGCGUAAAGGGCGCGUAGGCGGUCCUGAUCGUCGGAUGUGAAAGGCCUGGGCUCAACCUGGGAACUGCAUCCGAUACGGCGGGACUGGAGUGUGGGAGAGGUUGGUGGAAUUCCCAGUGUAGAGGUGAAAUUCGUAGAUAUUGGGAAGAACACCAGUGGCGAAAGCGCUCUACUGGGCCACAACUGACACUGAGGGACGAAAGCUAGGGGAGCGAAAGGG
rnacentral:rRNA from 1 species